UUAAAAGAAUAUCUCAUAAUAUCUUAAAUAAAAUAUCUUUUGUCUAUCUUCUCCUUUUUCUUUUUACUUAAAUAUUCAUUAAAUUUUAUGAAUGAAAUUUCUCUAAUUAGUUAUGCAUUCAUUGUAUGGUUUACUUAUUUUAGUUUUUAUAUACACAGGAUAAAAUAUUUUUAUUAGAGAAGUUUUAAAAAAAUAUUAAAACUACGCCUUCUUGAGAUACAUAAUCCUUUACAAUAUUCCUACAAGAAGAUAAAAUAUUUUUAUAAAAAUAUUUUUUCAUUUAACUUACUACUUAGGAAUAGGAAAAACUAAAAUAAGUAAACCAUACAAUGAAUGCAUAACAAAUUAUAGAAAUUUCGUCCAUAAAAAUCAAUGAAUAUCCAAGUAAUAAAAGAGAAAAUGAGAAGAGAGACAAAAAAAUAUAUUUUAUUUAAGAUAUUAUGAGAUAUUACUUUAAGACUUUUAAUUACAUUUAUUAAUGUAAGAUGGCUUACUUUAUUUUAAACAUUCAAAUUAAAUUAAUUAAUUAGUUUUAUUAAGAGAAUAAUCUUAUUUGAUUUAGAAUCCCAUUUUAGAUACUAGACUAAUAAGAUUGCUUUUAUGUAUAUAUAUAGUCUCUAUUGUACGUCUGUAGGAAAGACAACUAUCAAAUAGCAAACAAAAGCAUCAUUUUUUAGAAGAGUGUUACGAUAAUGUCAUCAUCACAUCUUGCUAUUAUGUGCCUCAUUAUGAUUUCUCUCGUUCCUCUACAUCACUUAGGAAACGCAUAUGGUUUAGAAAUCAAGAAAAAGUGCAUCGAUUUCCGUCAAUGGGUACCUGCAUGUACGAUACCUGCAUCGGGUUGUUUUUGCUGUAAUGACGCACCAUCGGAAAAAAAAUUAACGUGUUAUGCUACGGAAGCAGAAUGUAUGGCUCGUUGCCCGAACCCAACUAUUUGAGUGGCUUAAGACAGUUUAAGAAAUUAGAACAUACUCAGUGGAAUAUCUCAAUAAAAUUAUAAAAUAUUAUAAUAUAAGGAUAUUAAUAAACUAUUGUUUUGGGUAUCACUAUAUAUAUACAUCAGGCAUCGACUUUAAAAUAUAGAUAUGAUUAAGAAUGCUAUAAAUUUAUGUAAGAGAAAAAAAUAAAAUGAUGUUUGUCAUUGUGUUCAAUACCAUUGACAAGCUUUGAAGUUUCA